rnacentral:rRNA from 1 species
UACGGGGGGGGCAAGCGUUGUUCGGAAUUACUGGGCGUAAAGGGUUUGUAGGUGGCUUGCUAAGUCAGACGUGAAAUCCCUCAGCUUAACUGGGGAACUGCGUCUGAUACUGGCGAGCUUGAGUGCAGGAGAGGAACGCGGAAUUCCAGGUGUAGCGGUGAAAUGCGUAGAUAUCUGAAGGAACAUCAGUGGCGAAAGCGACUUCCUGGACCAAUACUGACGCUCAUGUGCGAAAGCGUGGGGAGCAAACAGG